rnacentral:rRNA from 1 species
UACGUAGGGCGCAAGCGUUGUCCGGAUUCACUGGGUGUAAAGGGUGCGCAGGCGGGAAAGUAAGUUAGAGGUGAAAUCUCACAGCUCAACUGUGAAACUGCCUUUGAUACUGCUUUUCUUGAGUUAGGGAGAGGUUGAUGGAAUUCCAGGUGUAGCGGUGAAAUGCGUAGAGAUCAGGAAGAACAUCGGUGGCGAAGGCGCUCUGCUGGACCAUAACUGACACUCAGGGACGAAAGCUAGGGGAGCGAAUGGG